UACGUAGGGUGCAAGCGUUGUCCGGAAUUAUUGGGCGUAAAGGGCUCGUAGGCGGUCUGUCACGUCGAAAGUGAAAACUCAGGGCUUAACCCUGAGCCUGCUUCCGAUACGGGCAGACUAGAGGUAUGCAGGGGAGAAUGGAAUUCCUGGUGUAGCGGUGAAAUGCGCAGAUAUCGGGAGGAACACCGGUGGCGAAGGCGGUUCUCUGGGCCUUACCUGACGCUGAGGAGCGAAAGCGUGGGGAGCGAACAGG
rnacentral:rRNA from 1 species